GGCGGGCGUCCCUUGCUGGGGCUCCGCGCCCGGCUCGACAGAGCGGGCGUGGGGCGGGCGCCGAGGGCACUGGGGGCCGAGGCCGAGUCCCCGCCCGCUGUCCCCUCGCCCUCCUUCCGAGAAGUUUGCCGUUCGACCUUGCAGAUGGAAACGACGGCGUUCGGACGAGGGCGUCGCCCGCCCAGGCUCCCGGGAGCGAGGGCAUCGGGGCUGCCCGGAAUCGGAUUCCUCGGCGGAUUACGCGGCCCAGUCGGCACGCGAGGCGGGCCCCGGGCGACCAGGAAGCCCCCGGCGCGCACGAAAGCAGCGAGGGCGGAGGUUGGGGGGCUGGGGGCGGGGCGGCCGCGUUGCGUGACCUGCAAGCCGGCGGCCGCACGCACUUCGUGCUCCGGGCGGCCCUCGCCCCGCGGGCGGCGCAGGUGCCGCUGGAGGCCGGCGCCCGGCUGCCACUUUACAGCCCCGGCGGGGAGGGCAGUCACGCUAUAUUUCAGGGACUGGGACGGAGUUCGCGGAAUCUCCUUGUUAUCGGAACGUGGGUAGCGUUGGGUAAUAACCGCUCGGACAGGAUGUAGGAAGCGCAGUGGGAACAGAGCUGUCCCGUCUGUUUUGAUCAGUGAUGGACCACUGUUGAUCUAGGCAUGCUGGUAUGUCUGCAAUCCCAGCGACUUCAGAGGCCUACACAGGGAAGAUCGAAGGUUUGAAGCCAGCCUGAGCAAUUGAGCAAGAACCAGUCUCAAAUUAAAAUCAAAAGGGGUGGGGAUGUAGCUCAGUGUUCCCUGGGUUCAAUCCCCAGUACCAUAAUAAAUAACAUAAACAAAAUAAAGGAGUUGAUAUAUUUUCGUCACUAUUGAUGUCAUAAGCCAUGUAAUAUUUUAGUGGGUUUUUCAUGUGUAUUUGGUGAUGCUGGUGUAAACAAACCUGCUUCUGGUCCUAUAAAAGUGUAGUACAUGCAAUUAUGAUCAGUACAUAGUACCGGUUACUUGAUACCGGUAAUAAGUGAGUUAGUGGUUUAUGUGUUUACUAUCUUUUUUUUUUUCAAGUCUGAGGAUUGAACCAAGACAUUCUACUACUAAGCUACAUCCCCAUCCCUUUCUAUUUUUUCAAACUCUUGCUAAGUUGCCCAGGGUGGCUCUAAACUUGCUAUCCUCCUGCUGCAAUCUCCUGAGUAGCUGAGAUUUUUUUUCUCUUUCUUUUUUUUUUUUUUGUCCUUUAGAGUAUACUCAUUGUACUUAUAAAAAUUUAUUAGAAACAGAGUGCUGUGUUACUCAGGGAGCAGCCUCAUACACUUUGAGUUUGCAGAGUCUCUUGGAUGC
rnacentral:lncRNA from 1 species